CGGGUGAUUGUAUUUACAGGAAGUGAGCUGGAGGUCUCGUAUUGCCAGUCUGCAGAAGUCUGACCUACUGGGCCUGACGCAGCCCGCUGGCACCCCACGGCCUCAGACAUCCGACAAGAGAGAUGUUGAGGCUGGUACAGGGGAGAGUGAGACGGAACGAUGGGCCAGGGAGCGCAGGGAAAGGAGACAGGCUCGGGCCAGAAGGAAGGCACAGAGGACUGGAGAGAGUGAUGACAAUGAUCCCAGUGGAGAGGAAGAGUUCUCAGGCAGUGGGCUGGAUCCACAGACGGACCAACACUUACGUUCCAGGUCAGACCUAUCGUGUAAUGACUGUGGUCCAGGAGGAGGCUCUGAGACCAAGGAUUUUAAGAAGUUGUUUGAAGAGGUGUCCAGAGAAAACAGUCAGCUCCAGUUGCAGCUGCAGGACACUCAACGGAUUGUCAAUCAGACCAGGUUGGACCUGGAGAAGGCCACACAGAGACAAGAGCGCUUCAGUGACUGCUCAGCCCUGCUUGAGCUGGAAAGAAAGGACCGGAGGAUGCUGGAGCGGCGAAUGGCAGAGCUGGAGGAGGAGCUGAAGGUUCUGGUUGACCUGAGAGCAGACAACCAGCGUCUUAAGGAUGAAAAUGGAGCACUGAUCCGUGUCAUCAGCAAACUCUCCAAAUAGACGAAGAGAGAGAGAGAGAGACAUGAAGAGCAGGGAUCUCCCCGCCCCCCAUCACUCCUUCCUUCCACACAUUCCUCCCAGUGCCAAAGAGCGAGAGAGGGGGAGAGAAGCAACAGAAUGUCCUACGUACACAAGCACCACGGCUUGACUUGGAUUGUGAUGCCUCACCAUAGACCCGAACAGCUGGAGGGGUUUUUGUGUGCCUUAACACCGCUUGUCACAGGACGACCCGUGGCAUGAAGGUCUGUGGCUAUGGUCUGAGGCUCCCACAGCAGCAACAUGAGACAUGACAACAGCCAAACUCCCACGGCUGGUCAACACAGAGAACACGACAUCCACAUCUGUGCGUCUGGGGAACACUAACAUGCACACACAUUCCUAUGCGUGCAUCACAUACUUCCUCGAUGCACAUUCCAUGAGCACAGGAGGCCACUCGGUCUUUAUAGCUCCCACUUAGUAUUUAAUUUUUUGAACACCUCACACACUCACGAGUUUACCACUCAUAAUGUUAGUCCCAUUCUAAUGUGUUGUCAAGCAGUAAAGGUUUUGGCGUAGUUCUCUUCAAAAAGCUAUUUACCAGGUCUGUCUUUACAUUUUUUGACGAUUGGGGAAAGUCCAUGAAGCGCUGUUGGGUAGUUUUGAUUCCACAUGCAAGUGUUUGAACCCACCUACCUCUCCACCUAUGCACUUCCCCACAUACAUUUUUAUUUUUGUGACCACAGACACACUCCAUGCUCUUAAAAAUGACCGCAGAACCAGGUCAGUCGACCACAGCACUUUACUCUCUGCAAAGCAAUAUGAGAUCUGCGAGGCUUUGCCCGUCCUCCAGACAGACGAACUGAGUUCAGAGCAGCACCUUCUCACCACUGCUUUUCUUUGAGAAGCAGAGGAAGAAGUUACCCACAGCUGAAGGUCAAAGGUCAUUGCACAAUUAUAGAAUUUGCUGUUCUGUCAAAGCCUAUUAUGCUAUGAAUGGUUUUAAUUAUUACCAUUGAUAAAGAUAUUAUUUUCAUAGUUUUUCAUUGUCAGUUCCUCUCUUUCAAGGGAGAAUGGUCAUGUAUAUUAUAUGUGUAUAAAUAUUAGUCUUGAAUAAUACCCUUUUUGAAAUAAAACUCCAUGUAGCCUUUCUUCACAUGUUGGUUUUCUAAUAUAUUAAAUGGAUGUCUGCACCAUAAUAAAAAGAAAGUGUGUUUGUAGCAACUGCCUGGUUAUUAUAAACACAGUUGUCAAGAACUCCAUCACCCCAUCACGAACAAGUUAAGAUAAAUGCUUCUGUGAUGAGGAUGUGCAGUUCUUGCUUAUCUACCUGAACCUCUCUGAUUUGUGGUCACCCUUUAUUGCUGUUUCCCCACCUUAACUAGUAUGGUCGUCAUGCAGUUUUUCUGUUUUGUGAGAGCCAGAUGUCCCAUAUCAUUGCAGAGAGACUAAACAGCUGCAACACUACAACGCUUACAAGCUGAGGAAACAGGACUGCACAGAUGUAUUUACCAUUUGUUUGGACUGUUAACUUAAUCCACUGCUGUUCCCUAAUGGACGAUGCAUCAUGAGAAGCUUGACUGACGUGAUUGGAGUUAGUUUCAUUACAUUUGAUUAACAAGUGCCUUGUAGAUGUGUGAGUGAAGUCUGAGAAUCAUUGGUGUCUUUUGAGCUUCCAUCUAUUUUCACUUGAGUGUAUUUAAGAUGAGACAUCCAUCUGUUUGUCUCAUCUGAGUGCAAAGAGAUGGACCACUGUCCUGUAGGGUAGAAGAAGAAGAAGUACUGACAACAAGCUGAGCUCCUAAUAAGGAAGGGCAGGCUGGCCGAGGCGCUCUCUCUGUAAAUAUCCCUCAGGUCUGAGAAAGACAGAGGAAGGGAGCUGGGGAGGAAGAGGGAAGCGGAUGGAUUGCAACCUUAUAUGGACAAAGCUCUGCUUUUCCCAGGGUUUGUGGCUCUGACCCCCGGCAUGAUGCCAGAUGCAACACAAACAGCUCCUCGGCGCCACCAUGAGGUACAGCUGGUGUCAUACACUACAGCUGAGCAGCUGAUGGAGGAAGUUUUUACAUUUCUGACAGUUACAUCUCCUGACCAACUUCCAGCACAUAAAAAAAAAAAAGUCUUGCUUUUAUAAAUGAAUGGUGCUGACAUAAAUAAGUGUGAAUUCUUUAUGGCAUAUUAUUUUAUUCAUUUAAUCAAACUUAAAAUUAAGUAUUAACUGAAUGUUUUGUUUUUAUCACCACAGUUUCUUGUUGUUUUCUUUGCUUUACUGCAAAUGGAGCUUUUGUUAAAAGAUUAAUUAAAGGUUUAAAGA
ensembl:lncRNA